rnacentral:tRNA from 1 species
GCUCACAUAGCUCAGUCGGCAGAGCGCGUCCUUGGUAAGGACGAGGUCAUCGGUUCGAACCCGAUUGUGAGCACCA